rnacentral:rRNA from 1 species
UACGGGGGGGGGCAAGCGUUGUUCGGAUUUAUUGGGUGUAAAGGGUCCGUAGGUGGUCGACUAAGUCUGAUGUGAAAUCCCAUGGCUCAACCGUGGAACUGCAUUGGAAACUGGCCGACUUGAGUACCGCAGAGGUAAAGGGAAUUCCCGGUGUAAGGGUGAAAUCUGUAGAUAUCGGGAGGAACACCAGUGGCGAAGGCGGCCUGCUGGGCAGUGGACCUGAAAGGGUCCUUCAACCGACACUGAGGCGCGACAGCGUGGGGAGCAAACAGG